CCCUUAGAUGUUCUGGGCCGCACGCGCGCUACACUGAUGCAUUCAACAAGCCUAGCCUUGACCGAGAGGUCCGGGUAAUCUUUGAAACUGCAUCGUGAUGGGGCUAGAUUAUUGCAAUUAUUAAUCUUCAACGAGGAAUGCCUAGUAAGCGUGAUUCAUCAAAUCGCGUUGAUUACGUCCCUGCCCUUUGUACACACCGCCCGUCGCUCCUACCGAUUGAAUGUGUUGGUGAGGAGCUCGGAUUGGCAGCAGUUGGUGGUUCGCCACCGGCUAUUGCUGAGAAGUCCUCCAAACCGNCNCAUUUANAGGAAGGAGANGUCGUNACA
rnacentral:rRNA from 1 species